rnacentral:lncRNA from 1 species
UUUGUUUAGAGGUACUCUCAUCCGUACGAGGUGAGGGAGAAUCAGUCCUUAACGCAACGUCGAGAUCCAUACUUCAAGAACUAUCAAAAGAUUUACUUUCUAGAACUUGAAGUUUGAGCCAUUUAACUAAAUUGGCGUUGAAAGUAAACUUCAACAUGUCAUUCAUAACUGAAGAGAGAACAAAAAUCAAGCAAAAUAUGCUCAAAUAAGCCUUAAAAUAAAAGUAAUUUUAAAUUCAAAUAAAGGUAAAUCUCAUUACAAGAUAUCGGGAAUCCAUUAACAUUCUAUCUUUGGACAAAAUAUUAACUUUUCAGUGAUACCUUGACGUAGUAAUCAAACACUGAUAAUAAAAACAUGUCAAAUAACAAAUUUUCCUUUGGGCCAAUUUAUUAUUCACACGUAAAACCGAAUAAUUAUCACACGUUUAUCACCACAGUUGCAC